rnacentral:rRNA from 1 species
CCUACGGGUGGCAGCAGUGGGGAAUAUUGCACAAUGGGGGCAACCCUGAUGCAGCGACGCCGCGUGAGUGAAGAAGUACUUCGGUAUGUAAAGCUCUAUCAGUAGGGAAGAAAAUGACGGUACCUGAGUCAGAAGCCCCGGCUAACUACGUGCCAGCAGCCGCGGUAAUACGGAGGGGGCAAGCGUUAUCCGGAUUUACUGGGUGUAAAGGGAGCGUAGACGGCAGGGCAAGUCUGGAGUGAAAGUCGGGGGCUCAAUCGCCGGAUUGCUCUGGAAACUGUACGGCUGGAGUGCAGGAGAGGUAAGUAGAAUUCCUGGUGUAGCGGUGAAAUGCGUAGAUAUUAGGAGGAACACCAGUGGCGAAGGCGGCUUACUGGACUGUAACUGACGUUGAGGCUCGAAAGCGUGGGGAGCAAACAGGAUUAGAUACCCGGGUAGUC